CCUACGGGUGGCAGCAGUCGAGAAUCAUUCACAAUGGGGGAAACCCUGAUGGUGCGACGCCGCGUGGGGGAAUGAAGGUCUUCGGAUUGUAAACCCCUGUCAUGUGGGAGCAAAUUAAAAAGAUAGUACCACAAGAGGAAGAGACGGCUAACUCUGUGCCAGCAGCCGCGGUAAUACAGAGGUCUCAAGCGUUGUUCGGAAUCACUGGGCGUCAAGCGUGCGUAGGCUGUUUCGUAAGUCGAUUGUGAAAGGCGCGGGCUCAACCCGCGGACGGCACAUGAUACUGCGAGACUAGAGUAAUGGAGGGGGAACCGGAAUUCUCGGUGUAGCAGUGAAAUGCGUAGAUAUCGAGAGGAACACUCGUGGCGAAGGCGGGUUCCUGGACAUUAACUGACGCUGAGGCACGAAGGCCAGGGAGCGAAAGGGAUUAGAUACCCUUGUAGUC
rnacentral:rRNA from 1 species